CCCUUAGAUGUUCUGGGCCGCACGCGCGCUACACUGUCGGAUUCAGCGAGUCUUAACCUUAACCGAAAGGUUUGGGUAAUCUUUUGAAAGUCCGACGUGAUGGGGAUUGAUCAUUGCAAUUAUUGAUCAUGAACGAGGAAUUCCUAGUAAGCGCGAGUCAUCAGCUCGCGUUGAUUACGUCCCUGCCCUUUGUACACACCGCCCGUCGCUACUACCGAUUGAAUGGUUUAGUGAGAUCUUCGGAUUGGCGCCAUCGUGGCUUCACGGCCAUGACGGAUGGCCGAAAAGUUGAUCAAACUUGAUCAUUUAGAGGAAGUAAAAGUCGUAACA
rnacentral:rRNA from 1 species